GAAGAAUAUACAGAAACUAGCCGUUGGCGCUCACAAAAUCAAAUGUUUAUAUUGUGGGUCACAACACAAAGCUGCCCUUUUUUCUUCAUUAAAGACAGACAAACAAAUCUCUUCUUCUUCAUCCUUAAAAAUACCCAUUCUCUUUCCUUCUCUCUCUAAAUACUCCUCCCUCUCUCUCUCUCUCUCUCUCAACACUCCUCUCUCUCUCUCUUUCUCUGAUUCUGUUUGAAAAGCUUGCCGCAUUGUUCUUAUCUUGAGAAUUCCGUGAGUAUUGAAUUUAUUUCCUUAAGAUCCACGCUUAAAUUGAAGGAAACGCUGUGUUUCAUGAUCAUUUUCUUUUAUGUAAAUUGGAUACUAUCAUUUUAGAAAUGGCAGGUUUUACCAAAUGUUUUGUCGCUCUGUUACUAACUUUCCUUUCUCUUUUUCUUUAGAAACUUUUGGUGCUGUUUUUUUUUUUUUAUAUAUUAGAGGCUAUUUUUCUUUCUUUUUCUUCUUAGAUUUUGUUGCGAUUGAAUUAAUCUCUUUAUUUUGAGACGAGUGUAUCGUUGCUUAAUCUGGAUCUGUUGUUACUGUUUAUCAAAAUUGUAAUUUAUUAUGACAAUAGACAACAAAGGAGGCUUUUCAUUUUCAAAAAAAUGGGUGGAAAAUCAGGAUGUAUAUAUUAAAGUAAAUCACUUGAUUUUGUAGUUUCCUUUUGUAACUUCAUUAACUGAUCUUUUGAGUACUGGCCCGGGUGCAGACGGCACAGAGAGACUUUACAAUUAAGAUUCUUGAUUAGAGAUUUAUAAUGAAAAUGUCAGGGAUCUGCUGAAUUCAGAAUCAGAAAGUAGCUGUGGUCGAGAAGUUGGUGGAAGAAAACACAACCAAUGAUCAACAUUUGAGCCAUCUUAUAAGUAUGCGUGCCUAGUGUAGAACUGUAUCUUUGUGUUGGUGUAGCUUCCUUUGCCGCUGCAAGCAUUAGAAUAACAAUUUAUUAACCUUUCUGAAAUCACCCAUGAUUAUCAAAAUUUCGAAGACCUUGCUAGAAGUGAAACAGCUUCACAGACAUGCAGAUGGGGCUCAGAGAAUAUCAUUAAGAUAUUAUAUGCAUUAAAUGGGAGCAUGGCUUGAUUUUACUUUACUAAGUUGCUGAAACUAUAAGAGGUGCCGAUAUUGGUAAAUUUGAUAUUAUUCAGGGUUGGGAAAUGAAGCGGUCAUGUACCCCUGCUGGGACUCCAACUUCCCAGCAAGUUUUGGAAAAUGAGAUUGAAAACAGAGCACCACAAAAUGAAGACUUCAUUUCACAUCCGGUGAGACCCAGCCAGAGUCUGAGAAAGAGAAUCCUACAAAAAGUGAAGAAUGUGGAGACGUUUCAUCACGGGAAGGAACUCCAGGCUAUUGUCGUUCUAGUUCAGUUAAUAUGAAGAAAAUGCAGCAGAGGAGAACGUGAGAAGCAUAAGAACUUAUGUGACAGAAUUGAAGGAACAUGUUGCCAAACUGCAAUACCACAAGCAGCUACUUGUUUGCUAUAUAGUAUUUGCAGUUCAUUUGGUCCUCUACUACUACAUUGGCCUGUUAUUUUCAUUUGAAUUUAUGUAGUAACUUAGUAUCAGGAAAUUCAUUUUCAUAUUCUUCAUGCUGGAAGCAAAUGAAGCGGCAUUUGGCAAUUCAAGUCCCGCUCCUCGUGCUGGAGAUGAGCUUACAAUUUCUCUAUCGUCAAGGGUUGGGAAAAGAAGCGGUCAUAUACCCUGCCGGGACUCCAACUUCCCAGCAAGUUUUGGAAAAUGAGAUUGAAAACAGAGCACCGGGAAAUGAAGACUUCAUUUCAUAUCCGGUGAGACCCAGCCAGAGUCUGAGAAAGAGACUCCUACAAAAAGUGAAGAAUGUGGAGACGUUUCAUCAAAGGAAGGAACUCUAUGCUAUUGUCGUUCUAGUUCAGUUAAUAUGAAGAAAAUGCAGCAGAGGAGAACGUGAGAAGCAUAAGAGCUUAUGUGACAGAAUUGAAGGAACAUGUUGCCAAACUGCAAUACCACAAGCAGCUACUUGUUUGCUAUAUAGUAUUUGCAGUUCAUUUGGUCCUCUACUACUAUAUUGGCCUGUUAUUUUCAUUUGAAUUUAUGUAGUAACUUAGUAUCAGGAAAUUCAUUUUCAUAUUCUUCAUGCUGGAAGCAAAUGAAGCGGCAUUUGGCAGUUCAAGUCCUGCUCCUCGUGUUGGAGAUGAGCUUACAAUUUCUCUAUCGUCAAGGUUUUUCUCUCUUUUUAGCCUAGGAACUGACACAUUGCUUGGAGCUGUAUUGCUUAAACUAAUUUUCUUUUAUGUCUUGCUUAAACUAACUCGAGCAAUGAGACGUGAAAGAGAGUUUCUGGCAAAGAGGUUGACUUCACGUUUAAAUGCCGACGAGAGAGAGGCGCGUACAUGAAAUGGGGAAGCAGAGGAAACUGCAGUUUGUGAACAAAUCCACAUAUACACAUUGAAAGUGCUAAGAUAGUCUGGCAAAGCUUGUAGGAUUCUGCGAGAUUCCAUUUGAGCUAAAGUUUGCACUACCAACAGAUAAGAGACCCUGAAUUAUGGGUGGAACCCAAUUUCAAACCUUCUACAUUUGUGAGCAUUACAUUUUUCAUUUGUAAGUAUUUCCUAUUUCUGUACGUGUAAAAUUCAUUUAGAGGUUUUUUGUCCAUGUAUCAUUUAUUUAUAUCUUUACUUUUGCUCAAUUAUGGUGUGACUGGUUGUGCAUAGGAAGAGGGUUUGGAUAUGGCAAUCAAGCAAGCAUUUCCUCUAUUGAUUGUUUGAUACCAGCAGGACAUUGUUGAAGAA